rnacentral:lncRNA from 1 species
GAGAUUGCAAGGGUUGGAAUCGGGAGCCCUGUUGAGUCGUAUUACGUUUAACUCGUUGCCAUCUCUUCUCCGGGGCCUUCGAUCUUCCUCUGCCCUUUCUUUCUAUCCUAACAAAUCCCUCAUCAUUCUUCUGUUCAUUCACCCCAUUUCCUUUUGGUCUUCUCUCCCCAUGGCCCUUCUCCCCUUGUUCUUUCCCUCGAGCUCCUUCACAUUCAUCUCCCAAGUGCCCAAAUAUCUUACACUUAGGGCAGAAAAGGGGGAUAAAAUCAUAGUAAAUCCCAUACUCUUGACGUCUCCUCUUCACCAUUUUGCACUAAGACAACCGGUGGAAAUUUGCCUUGAAUGUCCAUCUCGACACAUAUGCACACAUAUCCCCUUCGCGCCCGGCUCGAAGUAAUCCUGUCCAAGAAAAGAGGCUUUCCAAGGAGGUUCACGAUCGUUCCCAAACUUCUCGGCCUCCAUAGUUCAUCAUCAAGCCCUGGGAUUCUGAUAAAAAUGGGGAUUUGAAGAUUGUCGACCUCGUCUAGUUUUAGGCUUGGCUGUCAUCUCUUCAGUACUAAGCAUUUGCCCGCAAUGAAGCACGGACCUACCAAUAGUGCAGCUUCCAUAUCUUCCCUAUUCGAAAAUCUUAUUAGGAAUGCUCCCGGACCCUUGGGGAUGAUAUCAAAAUCUCCUUUUGCAGCCCAUCUUCUUAUUAAACUCCCUUGAAGGAGUGUCCAAUUCGGCCUUGGACCUGAGAGCAUUCCAAUGAGGCUAAGUUCCAUCUCUUUGCAGCCUUCUUCAUAUUCUUCCUUUGGAAUGCAAGCCUUAGGGAUACCGUUCUCAAGUACAGG